GGAGGGUGCAAGCGUUGUUCGGAAUUAUUGGGCGUAAAGAGCUUGUAGGCGGUCCGGUAAGUCAGAUGUGAAAGCCCUGGGCUCAACCCAGGAAGUGCAUUUGAAACUACCAGACUUGAGUACGGGAGAGGAGGGGGGAAUUCCCGGUGUAGAGGUGAAAUUCGUAGAUAUCGGGAGGAAUACCAGUGGCGAAGGCGCCCCUCUGGACCGAUACUGACGCUGAGACGCGAAAGCGUGGGGAGCAAACAGGAUUAGAUACCCUGGGUAGUCCACGCCGUAAACGAUGAGCACUAGGUGUAGCGGGUAUUGACCCCCCUGCUGUGCCGUAGCUAACACAUUAAGUGCUCCGCCUGGGGGACUACGGUCGCAAGACUA
rnacentral:rRNA from 1 species